CCGUGAUGAAUUCAUUCUGUGUACAGGUCUGGACCCAUGUAAUUACACCACUCUGGAGUCCACCUGCAUGGCUAUCUAUAAAACACACUACCUCCCAAAAGACACAAUAGCACUGACACACAACAGCGCAUAUAUCAAUCAGAACAAAACAUACUCGAACGUAUCAAUUGAAUGGCUUGAAUAUAUCAGCAAAUCACGUUCAGUAGUUGUUCAACACGCGCUAAAUCACGGUGAGGUGUCAUUCGGCAAGUAUUAUGUAGAUGGUUUUUAUAUCGAUGGCACAAAUAAAAAAGCAUUAGAGUUUGCAGGGUGUUUUUUUCACGGUUGUGAACGAUGUUAUAACCCCAAUGAUUUAAAUCCGUUAUUGAGGGUACCUUACGGUCUUCUCAAAAGACAGUUUGAUGACAAGAUUGAAAUUUUACAGAAUCCAUACAAUCUUCAUAUUGAGAUUCAAACGAAUUCAUUCAAGUUGUAUCACAAGGCAGCAGAAGGCGAGGUCAUACGGUAUGUGGAUUUCACAAGUCUCUAUCCAUUUUGUCAGGCCACAAAGUGUUUCCCGAUAGGACACCCCCAAAUAAUUUUCAAAGAUUUUGAUAAUCUUGAAAAUUAUUUUGCCUGGUUAAGGCUACGGUACUACCACCUCGAAAGCUGCCCUUACAACUGCCCAUGCACGUUUAGAACUCUAUGAGCUUAUGGAUAGGCUGGGUGAUAGGCUGCUUUAUUGUGACACUGACAGUGUUGUUUUUACAACCAGAGAAGGUGAAUAUGAACCACCACUAGGUCCAUAUCUCAGUGAUCUUACUGAUGAAGUUGGACCCAAUGACCAUAUUUUACCCUCUUUACCAGCACCGGUCCGAGAAGUUAUGGUUUUGUCACCGCUACGGGUAAGGUUUGUAUGAAAGUGAAAGGCAUAAUGCUUAACGCUUUAAACUCUGAAGCCAUCACAUUAGAUUCAAUGAUUGGACUUGUUAAGCAUUACGUGAAGGGGAGGGAUGAUAGCCGCCAUAUUCUUGCACACAACGACACUAUUGUGCGGAAUAAAAAGGAUUUGACGUUACACAAUAACUCAUUUGUAAAGAAAUUCAGAGUUGUGUACGACAAGCGUGUACUGCUCCCUGACUUCACCACACUUCCAUAUGGCUUCUGACAAUGUUUUUGGUGGGGGUGUACAUGACACAGAAGGGUUUGACAUUCGACUCCAAUGUCCUUUUUCAAUGGUUAUAGCAGGACCUAGCAACAGUGGUAAAACAUUUUUUUGUAAAAAUGUUGUUGCAAAAUGCCGGAAAGUUGAUUUCUAAAAAAAUUGACAAUAUGGUUUUCAUUUAUUCUGUAUGGCAACCUUUGUAUGAUGAUUUGUUGAAUAUGUAUGAUAGCAAUAUUAAAUUUAUUGAAGGAAUUCCACAAACUUUGGAUGAUGAUGUUUUGUUUCCU
ensembl:lncRNA